AUUGAACGCUGGCGGCAUGCUUUACACAUGCAAGUCGAACGGUAACAGGCCGCAAGGUGCUGACGAGUGGCGAACGGGUGAGUAAUGCAUCGGAACGUGCCCAGUCGCGGGGGAUAACUACUCGAAAGAGUAGCCAAUACCGCAUACGAUCUAUGGAUGAAAGCGGGGGACCGCAAGGCCUCGCGCGAUUGGAGCGGCCGCUUUCAGAUUAGGCAGUUGGUGAGGUAAAGGCUCACCAAGCCAACGAUCUGUAGCUGGUCUGAGAGGACGACCAGCCACACUGGGACUGAGACACGGCCCAGACUCCUACGGGAGGCAGCAGUGGGGAAUUUUGGACAAUGGGCGCAAGCCUGAUCCAGCAAUGCCGCGUGCAGGAAGAAGGCCUUCGGGUUGUAAACUGCUUUUGUACGGGACGAAACGGCUCUGGUUAAUACCCGGGGCUAAUGACGGUACCGAAAGAGUAAGCACCGGCUAACUACGUG
rnacentral:rRNA from 1 species